rnacentral:rRNA from 1 species
UUUGAUCUGGCUCAGAUUGAACGCUGGCGGGAUGCUUUACACAUGCAAGUCAGACGGCAACACAGACUUCGGUCUGGUGGCGAGUAGCAGAACGGGUGAGUAAUGUAUCGGAACGUGCCUAGUAGCGGGGGAUAACUACGCGAAAGCGUAGCUAAUACCGCCUACGCCCUUCGGGGGAAAGCGGGGACCUUCGGGCCUCGCACUAUUAGAGCGGCCGAUAUCGGAUUAGCUAGUUGGUGGGGUAACGGCUCACCAGGCGACGAUCCGUAGCUGGUUUGAAGGACGACCAGCCACACUGGGACUGAGACACGGCCCAGACUCCUACGGGGAGGCAGCAGUGGGGAAUUUUGGACAAUGGGGGAAACCCUGAUCCAGCCAUCCCGCGUGUGCGAUGAAGGCCUUCGGGUUGUAAAGCACUUUUGGCGGAAAGAAACGGCACGGGAUAAUACCCCGUGCAACUGACAGUACCUGCAGAAUAAGCGCAAGCUAACUACGUGCCAGCAGCCGCGGUGGCCGUGGGAGUGCAAGCGUUAAUCGGAAUUACUGGGCGUAAAGCGUGCGCAGGCGGUUCCGGAAAGAAAGAUGUGAAAUCCCAGGCUUAACUUUGGAGCUGCAUUUUUAACUACCGAGCUAGAGUGUGUCAGAGGGAGGUGGAAUUCCGCGUGCUUGGCAGUGAAAUGCGUAGAUAUGCGGAGGAACACCGAUGGCGAAGGCAACCUCCUGGGAUAACACUGACGCUCAUGCACGAAAAGCACGUGGGAGCAAACGAGUUAGAUACCCUGGUAGUCCACGCCCUAAACGAUGUCAACUAGCUGUUGGGGCCUUCGGGCCUUGGUAGCGCAGCUAACGCGUGAAGUUGACCGCCUGGGAGUACGGUCGCAAGAUUAAAACUCAAAGGAAUUGACGAGGGACCCGCACAAGCGGUGGAUGAUGUGGAUUAAUUCGAUGCAACGCGAAAAACCUUACCUACCUUAAACAUGUCUGAGAUCCCGAAGAGAUUUGGGAGUGCUCGCAAGAGAACCGGAACACAGGUGCUGCAUGGCUGUCGUCAGCUCGUGUCGUGAGAUGUUGGGUUAAGUCCCGCAACGAGCGCAACCCUUGUCAUUAGUUGCUACGAAAGGGCACUCUAAUGAGACUGCCGGUGACAAACCGGAGGGGAAGGUGGGGAUGACGUCAAGUCCUCAUGACACUUAUGGGUGGGGCUUCACACGUCAUACAAUGGUCGGGACAGAGAAGUCGCCAACCGCGAGGCCAAUCCCAGAAACCCGAUCGUAGUCGGAUCGCAGUCUCGACUGCGUGAGUCGGAAUCUCCGCUAGUAAUCGCGGAUCAGCAUGUCGCGGUGAAUACGUUCCAGUGCUUGUACACACCGCCCGUCACACCAUGGGAGUGGGUUUUACCAGAAGUAGUUAGCCUAACCGUAAGGAGGGCGAUUACCACGGUAGGAUUCAUGACUGGGGUGAAGUCGUAACAAGGUAA